rnacentral:sRNA from 1 species
UCUCCGAAAGACGAGUCCUCUGAGUGG